rnacentral:rRNA from 1 species
CAGCAGCCGCGGGAAUACGAGGGGGGCAAGCGUUGUUCGGAAUUAUUGGGCGUAAAGGGCGCGUAGGCGGUUUGACAAGUCUGAUGUGAAAUCUCUGGGCUCAACCCAGAGUCUGCAUCGGAAACUGUCGAGCUUGAGUAUGGGAGAGGUGAGUGGAAUUUCCGGUGUAGCGGUGAAAUGCGUAGAUAUCGGAAGGAACACCUGUGGCGAAAGCGGCUCACUGGACCAUUACUGACGCUGAGGCGCGAAAGCUAGGGGGGCAAACAGGAUUAGAUACCCCAGUAGUCCCUGUCUCUUAUAC